rnacentral:rRNA from 1 species
AGUGAACGCUGGCGGCAUGCCUAACACAUGCAAGUCGAACGGUAACAGGCCCGCAAGGGUGCUGACGAGUGGCGGACGGGUGAGGAAUACAUCGGAAUUUGCCCAGUCGUGGGGGAUAACGUAGGGAAACUUACGCUAAUACCGCAUACGACCUAACGGUGAAAGCGGGGGACUCGCAAGAGCCUCGCGCGGAUGGAUAAGCCGAUGUCGGAUUAGCUAGUUGGCGGGGUAAGAGCCCACCAAGGCGACGAUCCGUAGCUGGUCUGAGAGGAUGAUCAGCCACACUGGGACUGAGACACGGCCCAGACUCCUACGGGAGGCAGCAGUGGGGAAUAUUGGACAAUGGGGGCAACCCUGAUCCAGCAAUGCCGCGUGUGUGAAGAAGGCCU